GACGAACGCUGGCGGCGUGCCUAAUACAUGCAAGUAGAACGCAGUUGCGAACGGGUGAGUAACGCGUAGGUAACUGCCUCAUAGCGGGGGAUAACUAUUGGAAACGAUAGCUAAUACCGCAUACUGUGAGAUGGACCUGCGUUGUAUUAGCUAGUUGGUGAGGUAAAGGCUCACCAAGGCGACGAUAAAUAGCCGACCUGCGAGGAGGGUCCGCCAGACUGGGACGGAUACACGGUCCAGAGUCCUACGGGAGGCAGCAGUAGGGAAUCUGCGGUAAGCGACGGAAGUCAGAUCUAGAAGCGCCGCUGGAGUGAAGAAGGUUUUCGGAUCGUAAAGCACGGUUGUUAGAGUAGCGGUACUUAACCAGAAAGUGACGUCUAACUACGUGCCAGCAGCCGCGGUAAGAC
rnacentral:rRNA from 1 species